rnacentral:rRNA from 1 species
ACUCCUACGGGAGGCAGCAGUGGGGAAUAUUGCACAAUGGGCGAAAGCCUGAUGCAGCAACGCCGCGUGAGUGAUGAAGGCCUUCGGGUCGUAAAACUCUGUCCUCAAGGAAGAUAAUGACGGUACUUGAGGAGGAAGCCCCGGCUAACUACGUGCCAGCAGCCGCGGUAAUACA